rnacentral:misc_RNA from 1 species
ACCAAGAACGUAGACUUCCUUAAAGUUACUUCAGUGCAUGGUGGGUUGAAGAAUUUGCCACUGUUGCCUUGGUUGUUCACUGGAUUGGUGACAUUACUUAAAGAGUUAAAAAUGAUAGAAAUUAAGCCUUCCACACUCUUUGGUUUUCAGGGUUGAUGAAAAUGCAUGAGAACAGUUGUUGCACUUGAGGUUUUCUAUGAGAUGUCUUAGAGGAUCAUGAUCUCAUUAGCCUUAUAUAUGUUGGAAGUGUCAAGGUCAUUUGAUCGAAGUAAAGAGUGUGUUUGAAAAAAAUAAUAAGACAAGCAUUAUGAAAUAGAAUGAUUGAUAGGU